rnacentral:ncRNA from 3 species
UUUCUGCCCAGUGCUCUGAA